GAUGAACGCUGGCGGCGUGCUUAACACAUGCAAGUCGAACGGAAAGGCCCAAGCUUUCUUGGGUCCUCCAGUGGCGAACGGGUUAUUAACACGUGGGUUAUCUGCCCUGCACUUCGGGGUAAGCCUGGGUAAUUGGGUCUAAUACCGGGUAGUACCACUUCUUUGAUGUUGUGGUGGAGAGUUUUUGCGGUGUGGGUUGAUCUCGCGACCUAUCAGCUUGUUGGUGGGGUACUGGCCUACCAAGGCGUCGGCGGGUAGCCGGCCUGUGAGGGUGUACGGCCACAUUGGGACUGAGACACGGCCCAGACGCCGACGGGAGGAAGCGGUGGGGAAUAGUGCACAAAGGGCGCCAGGCUGAUGGAGCGAAGCCGGGUGGGGGAGGACUGACCUCGGGUUGCAGACGCAGUUCGCGAGGGACGAGGCGUUUUGUGACGGUACCUGGAGAAGAAGCACCGGCUAACUACGUG
rnacentral:rRNA from 1 species